rnacentral:rRNA from 1 species
GAUGAACGCUGGCGGCGUGCCUAAUACAUGCAAGUAGAACGCUGAAGGAGGAGCUUGCUCUUCUGGAUGAGUUGCGAACGGGUGAGUAACGCGUAUGUAACCUGCCUGGUAGCGGGGGAUAACUAUUGGAAACGAUAGCUAAUACCGCAUGACAACAGUUAUUGCAUGAUAACUGUUUAAAAGGGGCAACUGCUCCACUACCAGAUGGACCUGCGUUGUAUUAUCUAGUUGGUGAGGUAACGGCUCACCAAGGCGACGAUACAUAGCCGACCUGAGAGGGGGAUCGGCCAAACUGGAAAUGAGACACGGCCCAGACUCCUAAGGGAGGGAGCAGUAGGGAAUCUUCGGCAAUGGACGGAAGUCUGACCGAGCAACGCCGCGGGAGUGAAGAAGGUUUUCGGAUCGUAAAGCUCUGUUGUAAGAGAAGAACGAGUGUGAGAGUGGAAAGUUCACACUGUGACGGUAUCUUACCAGAAAGGGACGGCUAACUACGUG